CCUAAAUUUCCCAUGGCGAACUGCUCAAUAACACAUGAUCAACUUGCCCUAUAGAGAAAAAUAACCUCGGGAAACUGAGGAUAAUGUUUCAUAGUUGAAAAGGCUUGGAAAAGUUUUUCGACUAAAGGGAUAAAAAAAAUGGUUUUUAUCCGCUAUAGGAUAGGAUCGUGCUCGAUUAUGGUCGUUGGUGAGGUAACGGCUCACCAAGCCGAUAAUCGAUAGGGGCCGUGAGAGCGGGAGCCCCGAGAUGGGUACUGAGACAGCGACCCAGGCCUUACGAGGCGCAGCAGGCGCGGAACCUCCGCAAUACACGAAAGUGUGACGGGGUUACCCAAAGUGUUCAAUUAUGAACUGUGGUAGGUGAGUAAUGUCCCCUACUAGAAAGGAGAGGGCAAGGCUGGUGCCAGCCGCCGCGGUAAAACCAGCUCUUCAAGUGGUCGGGAUAAUUAUUGGGCUUAAAGUGUCCGUAGCCGGUUUAGUAAGUUCCUGGUAAAAUCAGGUAGCCUAACUAUCUGCAUGCUAGGAAUACUGCUAUACUAGAGGACGGGAGAGGUCUGAGGUACUACAGGGGUAGGGGUGAAAUCUUAUAAUCCUUGUAGGACCACCAGUGGCGAAGGCGUCAGACUGGAACGUGCCUGACGGUGAGGGACGAAAGCCAGGGGAGCGAACCGGAUUAGAUACCCGGGUAGUCCUGGCCGUAAACGAUGCAUACUAGGUGAUGGCAUGGCCAUGAGCCGUGUCAGUGCCGUAGGGAAACCGUUAAGUGUGCCGCCUGGGAAGUACGGUCGCAAGGCUAAAACUUAAAGGAAUUGGCGGGGGAGCACCACAAGGGGUGAAGCCUGCGGUUCAAUUGGA
rnacentral:rRNA from 1 species